UCGGGAAUAUUGCACAAUGGACGAAAGUCUGAUGCAGCAACGCCGCGUGCGCGAUGAAGGCCUUCGGGUCGUAAAGCGCUUUUCGGGUGGAUGAGAAGGGACAGUACACCCGGAAUCAGGAACGGCUAACUACGUGCCAGCAGCCGCGGUAAAACGUAGGUUCCGAGCGUUAUCCGGAUUUACUGGGCGUAAAGCGCGUUCAGGCGGUUUGGCAAGUCGGGCAUGAAAUCUCUGGGCUCAACCUGGAGAGGUUGUCCGAUACUGCUGAACUGGAGGGCAGUAGAGGGUGGUGGAAUUCCGGGUGUAGUGGUGAAAUGCGUAGAGAUCCGGAGGAACACCAGUGGCGAAAGCGGCCACCUGGACUGCACCUGACGCUGAAACGCGAAAGCUAGGGGAGCGAACGGGAUUAGAUACCCCCGUAGUCC
rnacentral:rRNA from 1 species